CCGCGUGAGCGAAGAAGGCCUUCGGGUCGUAAAGCUCUGUGUUAGGAAGAACAAGUAUCGGAGUAACUGCCGGUACCUUGACGGUACCUAACCAGAAAGCCACGGCUAACUACGUGCCAGCAGCCGCGGUAAUACGUAGGUGGCAAGCGUUGUCCGGAAUUAUUGGGCGUAAAGCGCGCGCAGGCGGUCCUUUAAGUCUGAUGUGAAAGCCCACGGCUCAACCGUGGAGGGUCAUUGGAAACUGGGGGACUUGAGUGCAGAAGAGGAGAGUGGAAUUCCACGUGUAGCGGUGAAAUGCGUAGAGAUGUGGAGGAACACCAGUGGCGAAGGCGACUCUCUGGUCUGUAACUGACGCUGAGGCGCGAAAGCGUGGGGAGCAAACAGGAUUAGAUACCCUGGUAGUCCACGCCGUAAACGAUGAGUGCUAAGUGUUAGAGGGUUUCCGCCCUUUAGUGCUGCAGCUAACGCAUUAAGCACUCCGCCUGGGGAGUACGGCCGCAAGGCUG
rnacentral:rRNA from 1 species